CCUAGCUUUUCGGAUAUGCAGAAAGCUUUCUUCGGAGUUUCUGUUAACUCCAGUUGUUUAACGGACAAUGACGACAGACAAUUGCCCCUUGCCUGGUGCUUGGUCUGGGAUCGGUCAACGCGGGACUCAUGCUGCUUGCCAGAAAGCCAAGCCGUGUUAGCCCGAUAGUUCGCUUAAUGGUCAAACACAGGACACACAGACACAGAUGAUGGGUAGCCAAAUACUUUAGAACUCCCGCUGGGGACGCCAAUGCCAACACCCCAGCCCGCUCCAAAUGAACAGCAAAUGCUCGGCAAUCAUCCGCUGAGUCGCAAUUCAAAGAGGGAGAAUGAAAACAAGCAGAAAUGCUGGCUAGAUUUUAUGCUAAACAUUUAUUGUAUUAUGUUUUCGGUUGUUCUGGCGCGGUAGUUCUGUCCCCAGAGCCCUGGAGCAUCAGAAAGGACCAGCCCUGUGCCAUUUCUUGAUACGGUGCACCAUCAAUCAAGAGGCCCUCCCUGCCCUCUAGCCACCGGCCCUGAUGACAAAACAAACAGCAAGAGAACAACGCCAACAAAACAAAACAUUAAAUAAAAUUUUAAAAAAAUUUGUGUGCUGGCAAAGCUUUGCUUAGAGUCCAACUCUUAUUUUAUGGAGUAUAUAUUUGAUUAAUUCUUAGGUCUACAUAAAUGGCCAUCUAUUAGGCAGUUAAGGUAUACAAUAUAAUUAUUUAAUAAUACACAAAUGUAUAUGUAUUUAUGUAGUUUGUCUGUGUAUAACUCUGUUUGUAUACAGGUAGAGCUGCUGAAUUGGGUGCGAAUUAGGAUACCCAUGCUCAGUGUACUCGUAGAAAUGCAUCACAUCUGAUUUUACUUUUAUUUUAUAAAUAUUUAUCCCUAUUUUAAGUACAUAUAUUGUAUUUAAUUCAAUUAUUUGUUUGUAUUGUAGUUUCUUUCUGGCUAGUUUUUUGAAAGCAACAAACACACACAUUGGUUUGUAAUAUUGUUUAUUGUUUAUACAAUUAAGUAUUUCUACCUUUCUUUAAGAAAUUUGCCUCUAAUUUACGAGUAUAUGUAGCUAUGCAAUAUGUCUAAUAUGAGUAUGUAUGUAGAUUGUUUUAGUGGCUAAAUUCAUGAAUUCUGGCUUAUUCAAUGUACUUGCUGUUUGGCUCAAUAACUCUCUAGAUACUUAUACACAGAUAUACUAUAUGUAGGCAUGUACAUAUUUAUUUUUGGGUAAAUUCAUUUAAAAUCGUUCUAUUCAUUUAGUUAGGACUUUUCUUCUUGUUUGAUAGUUUUUAUCAGGCCAUAAAAGCAGACCAUAUUCGCCAGCGAACCAUUUUUGGUUGCAUAAAAUGUGGGACUUUCCAUAGAAAUCAAUCAAUGAGCGGAGGCACCAUCAGGCCGCAUGGCAAGACAUAUUUUGGACUCAUUCGGGCUUCUUGGGCGGCCUGCAUCUAAGCAUAGCGAAGCAUCAAUAAACUUUCAAAAACUAUGUCUAUUUUCAGACGGUUAACGCCUGGGCUUGUAUAGUAGUACACCGAGAUGUAGCUGCUCCCUAAAAUUCGACCCUGCACUGUGGACUUGGCACAGAUAUGAGGUACAUAUCUGCACGAAUCUGAUUCUCGAAUGUGAAUCUAAACUCAUCGACCUCCACGCGCUUGAAAUUUUGGGCUGUGCUUUGCUUUGCAUAUUCUUAAUUUAAUUUAAUUGAGUCAUAGAUUUAAUUCAAUUCUGGGUGAGGCCUUAAACCUGCGCAAAGAUAUGCGACUGUUUCAUUUUGGAUGUAAUUAUGUAUUUAUAUUUGCUAAAUAUGUAUGUAUGUAUGUAGUUUCUGUGGGUUGCUUACAUACUUAUAUGUACAUACGUGCUGGUACAUAUUUAGUAUGUUUCUGCUUGAAACCGCAAAAAGAUUUUCACAUUUAGAUUUAGGUAUUUUUUGUGUCAUUUAUCGUAUAUUAUUCCGAGUAGCACCUAAAAUACUAUUUGAUAUUGGGUUGUGGUUAUACUUAUGUUAAUUAAUUUUCUUUUUGUUCUCUG
rnacentral:lncRNA from 1 species